CCUACGGGAGGCAGCAGUGGGGAAUAUUGGGCAAUGGGCGCAAGCCUGAACCAGCCAAGUCGCGUGAGGGAAGACGGUCCUAUGGAUUGUAAACCUCUUUUGUCGGGGAACAAAAGACGCCACGCGUGGCGUUCCGAGAGUACCCGAAGAAAAAGCAUCGGCUAACUCCGUGCCAGCAGCCGCGGUAAUACGGAGGAUGCGAGCGUUAUCCGGAUUUAUUGGGUUUAAAGGGUGCGCAGGCGGAAGAUCAAGUCAGCGGUAAAAUUGAGAGGCUCAACCUCUUCGAGCCGUUGAAACUGGUUUUCUUGAGUGAGUGAGAAGUAUGCGGAAUGCGUGGGGUAGCGGUGAAAUGCAUAGAUAUCACGCAGAACUCCGAUUGCGAAGGCAGCAUAGAGGCGCUCAACUGACGCUCAUGCACGAAAGUGUGGGUAUCGAACAGGAUGAGAUACCCCUGUAGUC
rnacentral:rRNA from 1 species